CACGUAGGAGGCGAGCGUUGUCCGGAAUUACUGGGCGUAAAGGGCGCGUAGGCGGCCAUCUAAGUCAGACGUGAAAUCCCCCGGCUUAACCUGGGAACUGCGUCUGAUACUGGACGGCUCGAGUAUGGGAGAGGGAUGUAGAAUUCCAGGUGUAGCGGUGAAAUGCGUAGAUAUCUGGAGGAAUACCGGUGGCGAAGGCGGCAUCCUGGACCAUUUACUGACGCUGAGGCGCGAAAGCUAGGGGAGCAAACGGG
rnacentral:rRNA from 1 species